rnacentral:sRNA from 1 species
CUAAAAGGCGUACUGAUCUGAAACUGUGAAAAAACCCCGCUCAUGGCGGGG